GACCCACCCAGGAAGGACCUAGUAGACAGGAGGACUCAGCUCACCGCACAGCCAGGCGCACCCAAAUCCUCAAGCCCUAGCGGACGCACGCACGCACGCGGCACCAUGGCGGCGGCGGCGGCGCAGCAGAAGAUCUGGUUGGGGAGCUAGAGGAGGACUUCGGAGGUGACCUCGACUUCCUCCUCCUGCCGCGGGUCGUGGUCGGGCCCGACGAUAACGGGCUCAAGAAGGUCAUCGAGUACCGCUUUGACGACGACGGCAACAAGGUCAGGGUCACCACCACCACCCGCGUCUGCAAGCUCGCGCGGGCGCGCCUCUCCUGCAGCGCCAUCGAGCACCGCCAGUGGCCCAAGUUCGGCGACGCCCUCAAGGAGGACGCGGGUUCCGGGCUCACCAUGGUCUCCACCGAGGCGAUCCUCCUCGAGCGACCCCGCUCACCAGUUUGAAGGGCAUAGGAAGGUGGGUGCCUUGGAGAGGGUCAGGGCCUUGAGGCCGUUUCAUUUGCAUGGUUGAAACCACGGAGCACUGUCCAUGCACAAGUGCUGCCACUGCUAAAUCUAUCUAAGGAGCUCUUGAGCAGAACCUGUGUUGGUGUGCAGGAACUUGGCACUUAGGUCUUGCACGGGCGCUGCCACACACUAGGCAUGUGGAAUCAGGACGCUGCUCUGACGUCCGUUGGAACGUAUCGCGGAUCUCGCCACCUGCAGUCUGUGGAACCUGCAACAGAUCGAUUGUGGCGCGAUCCUAUACAACAUCUGGCAUUAGUUCCAAGCAGUCAGUUCAAUUCUGGUGAUCAGGUAAUUUCGCUAACCAUUAUUUCAUAGUCUCAUACUCAAUUUGGUUUUACGCUUGAAGUUUCUUUGUUUCAGUUUGAUGGAGCUAUGAUAAUUAUUUUUAACUUUUGCAUUAUAUGAUGCAAACUAAUUUGAUCAUGCAAGUCUUUAUGAGUCCGUUGUUCAUUGGUCUUUUCAUCUUCUUGUCAUGAAAAUUAACAUCAUAAUUUAGUGAAAAUCAUUUUAGAGACAUUCUAUAAUUUCCAAAUCACAGUUAUGAAAACAAAUGCUAGCACAAGUACAGAACCUACUACUAAUCUGUAAAAACAUAGUUUGGAAACUCUAAAACCUGCACUUGCUGAAAAGCAAAACUAUUUAAACUAUAGAAAUAGUAUAAACUGUAGCAAUCUGACAAUAGAAAAAACUGAAAGCAGAUGCUACUUAUUCUCAAGCAAAACCGAAAACAGAUUUUGCACUUGUUGCAACCUGCAAAACAACAAAACAACGCAAAAGAGUAAAAAUAGCUAUAGCAUUUAAUUUUAUUUGACAAAUUAGAGUUCACCUGUAGAAUUGCUUAGUUAAUCUGCGCACUAUUUGGUUGGCAUAGUAUCUUAAUUGAAUUUUUAGCAUAAGGAUAUUUGAAAUAAGCUGAUCUGGCAGUAGUGACUAAUAAGGAUAUCUACGUGUUUGAGUUCGAUAAUCAACUAACAUUUAUGUGCUGAUCUAAAAACUUAACUGAAUCUGAAUGUGUUUUGCUAGAUUUAUUCUUUGGCAAAUUAUUCUUAAACAUUGCUAAAAUUAAGAAACAUUGUUAAAAUUAAAUCAAGUAUCAGUCGUCCAGUUAAUUCUUAUUUUGAAUAUCAACAGGUUGAUUCAGGUAAUAUUUUUAGUUUGCCAAUCAUUUAGAUGAAGAAAACAAUAAUCAUCUGUUUGAUCUAGCUGUAGAUAGUAUGUUUCAUAGUUUAGACUAUGACAAAAUGUCUUGCAUCAUAAAAAACUAGAAAAUAUAAAUUCUAUUGAUAGUGUAAAGCUGAAUAAAAUAAUCAUCUUUCGAUAAGAAAGCUCCACCCCAAAACUAAAAAGCUACAAAGAGGUAAUGUUUCACUUGUCGAUACAGAUUUUUUCAAGAUAGUCAAUAGUACUUUCUUUAAGAAUUAAGAAACAACUUAUACGCGGAAUACUUCCAACUACAACUUCAGCUGUAAGAAGUCAGACGCAUCAUUUCUAGAUCAUAUUUGAUUAGUGAUCAGCUGCAGCUUGGUGUCUAUGUUGCAAUGAACAAGCUGCUGCGAUAAACAAGCGUGUGCAAGAACUUGAGAGCGAAUUGCAAGUUGAGAAGAUAGGAUCAGUGGAGCUGCGAUCAUAGGUGGCUGAUCUGCAGAAGGAAGUAGAGGACAAAAAAGUUGAUGUUCUGAAGACAUUUGAGAUUCUUGAUGUAGCCUCAUUCUGUAGACAUUUGAGAUUCUGGAUGUGUAGCCUAUGUUCUACAGUCAUUUGUGCUUUUGGUGUUGUAUUGCAGUUUGAAACUUGUAUAAAAUGUCUGUGAUAUUUUAAUUAAUUGUGGAGAUUGCUUAUUUGAUCCUA